AGCGAACGCUGGCGGCAGGCCUAACACAUGCAAGUCGAACGAACUCUUCGGAGUUAGUGGCGGACGGGUGAGUAACACGUGGGAACGUGCCUUUAGGUUCGGAAUAACUCAGGGAAACUUGUGCUAAUACCGAAUGUGCCCUUCGGGGGAAAGAUUUAUCGCCUUUAGAGCGGCCCGCGUCUGAUUAGCUAGUUGGUGAGGUAAAGGCUCACCAAGGCGACGAUCAGUAGCUGGUCUGAGAGGAUGAUCAGCCACAUUGGGACUGAGACACGGCCCAAACUCGUACGGGAGGCAGCAGUGGGGAAUCUUGCGCGAUGGGCGAAAGCCUGACGCAGCCAUGCCGCGUGAAUGAUGAAGGUCUUAGGAUUGUAAAAUUCUUUCACCGGGGACGAUAAUGACGGUACCCGGAGAAGAAGCCCCGGCUAACUUCGUG
rnacentral:rRNA from 1 species